UCCCUUUAACCUGAAUAAACACCUGACCCUGAUUCAAAUCUGCUGCGUUUCCUCUUUAUCACCUGGAGAAUUUCUCAUCUGUAAAAAGUUAAAAUGUUUAAACUUUUGACUCCUCCCCCAUCACUCUGUCAGCCAAUCGCAUGUCGCCUGUAAUUCCACAAAACCUGGAGCUAAAUUAAGGAGUAUCGCAGUUUAUUCAUUUUUAUUCAUUUCUGGAUCUGGAGCUUGUUUCCUUCGUGUUUGUGCUUUUUCAGAGUGUAAGUGACUCUGUUUAAAGCUCAGACACCUGGACAAACUGUCGGACUGAACCUUUAGUUUCCCUCCUCACACUCUGAGCUGACGACAGGAAACAGAGCAAAGGUCAGGAGCUGCAGCUCUGCUCCAACCAGACCCCACGGAAAAACAUGAGGUUUAAACAGCUGAGACAAAGAGGAGCUGCAGGUGAACAAUUCCUGCAGGUCCUGCUGUCAGCCGGUCUGGGUUCCCUCAGACCAGAUCCUGUGAAAAACCAGGAGGGUGGAGUUUAGAAGUUUUCACACCAGCCAAUCAGAGAGGAGAUGUGGGCCUCACACGCUGGUCGUACAACCUGACUGUUAACCCCGUGAGGCCCAGACAGAGUCUCACUCCUCAGUCUAAAGAUGGGGGUGUGAAAGCACACCAUGGGUAAGAGGCCGACCCCACAGCAGACAAAGGACGUGAAACACAUCCCGGGGGGGGGGGGGCCCCCCCCCUUUUCCCUCAAGUAUAAAUGUUCAAGGUUCCCCAUGCUCAGGGUCUUUCUUCAUUUUGAACCGCUCGCAUGUUGAUUGACCUUUUCUUUGCAAAGAAAAUAAAACCUUGUCGGCCAACGGAAGUCUCUAUUUCAUUCUUCACCAAGAGCAGAAAAUUUCCACGACACUACUAUUCCUUUAUUCUUUGUUUAUAUGCUAAUAAUCAAUAUUAUAAUUAUUAUAAAUUUUUAAUAUUUAGAUAGUACUUGUAUAUGGGGGGGUGGAGGGUGGUACUGACAGAUGAUGAAGGAUGUAGAGUUGUUGAUUUUUUCCUGUUUGUUUCAGUUUUAUGUUUAAUAGGAAAACAGGAAAAUGCAGAACAGACGUGUGAAUAUCAUGUUUAUGUUAAAGAAUCCACGUCUAAUAUUACAGGUGUGUGAAACAGCUGAUGCUCUGCUGUUGUGAUUGGUUUAACCUCCAGAAGUCGAGUUAAAAUAAGAAUAAAAAAACUGAAUGAGGGUGUCAUCAGCCUCAUGAAAAAUUCAAUAAUAUUAAUAAACUAUGAUAAUAAUUUCUUUAUAUUAUUAAUAUCAUAAUUAACAGAUCUAAUAAGAGAAUAAUGUGACAGAGGAAUCAGACUCAGCGGAUCGUCUGUCUCAGAAGUCAUGCUUUUACUGUGGAAAAUGAGCUUUUCAAACUAAAACACGUUUUGUUUCCUCGUUACACUUUCUGCAUCAAGCUGGUCUCAGGUCAGUGAUUUACUUUAUCAUCAUGUGAUUUAUAUCAUCAUAUCAUUUCAAAUUAAAGAAUCUGUCGUCACAUUAAAUUCACGUCUAAUUAUUUUAAUUAAAGCAUCAAGUAUCUGAAU